ACGAAUUCGAUGGAUUGGCCUCAGGUUUUCCUGAAACACGCGUAAGAACAACCGGUACCGAUAUCGGUUGUAUCGAGUGCGGUUCCGAUGCUAAUUCGAGCAAUCAAUAGUGAUUACCGUUUCAAAGGAUUAUUACGUGUGUUGAAGUCCAGUUUCUAUACAGGUCGCAUCGAUGUCGCUAGUUGGCGUCCAAGUAUAGGUCUAUUUUGUUUGCGAGCUGUUUCACUUCGUUCUUCUCCCCGACCAAAUGCAAUAAUGCUGACCAUGAAUCUCUGUCGAGGUACCCCGACCAUUUGAGCGUCUGUGUACCUAAGGCUGAGCAUCUACCGCUACGAACCUAUCUCAACAUCAACAUUCGUGUCGGGAGUCGUCGCUUUGACACUUGACUACUGCGUUGCCACAACAAUGGCGAAGCCCAAAGCUGAUCCGUUUUCCCUUGUAGAACUCGAGCUAGCAAUGCUCUCGCAUGAGGGCGCCCCUUGCUAAUGUUUACACAAGGGAUUGAGAAUUCAAAUUUUGCCGCUAUUCACACUGCCGGUGUGUUACUUUCCCUAAGGCUGUUUGGGGGGUGUCAGUCCACAAAAAGUAAGCGAAGAAACACGGAGGGAAUUGGGAGUGCGAUUUGGCCUGGCACAGCUUAGGGUCAAACCUGGCUGUUGGAGAGGUUGGCCAGAGCCAGCUGAAGCCUCUGUGCUUGCCUUUUCGCCUAGGUGGAAUCGGUGCUUGGCAAUGUAAGCGCACUUGACACAUCUACAUUCAACCACAGCGUAAAAGUGAAGUAACUCUCGGGGUUGAGAUCUGGGCAGCUCAUAGUAAGACUAACAUAUACGCACCAGUUAUCAAGUCACGCCUGUCCGAUUCGCCAUGGCCGUAGUCAUCAUGCAAUUGUUCGACCCGCAACGUUGUGUCUCAUCGUGAAUAGUGACGACUUACCAACCAUGCUGACGAGGGUGAAUCGAUUUUCAGAAUGCAGUGGACGCCUGCGGUGAUUCGUACGGGCAUGCUUGGUUGUCCAACAAAGGGAUCUUAAAGGUGUCGCAACUUCAUCCAGCUGCUUACUUCGUCUCUAUGAUAUGGUACAUACUAGUCGACGUUGAUGGCGAUGAGUGGUAAUACCUAAAAAUUAAUGAUUAUCAAUGUUAGUGUUAAAAUUCGCGCUGUAGACAAGCCAUUUCAAUGAAGUAGCUUUCUCGUCGCUAUUGAAGGACAAUGACUGCUGACGACGAACUUAUACCCCAUAACUAGAUCGUCCACGCCGCGGGCGGACCAUAUAUUCCGUAGCUUGUUGCCAAGUGGCCGUAACCAAGAAGUGUAAAAUUUACCUCUCUUCAUUUAACAUAUUUGCUUUUUCAAGCGAGCUGCAAGAAACUGAGAAUCAAUAAACGAAACAUAUAAAAUAAAGAUAGUAUACAAAAUUGCUCUAUCAU